rnacentral:rRNA from 1 species
UACGGAGGGUGCGAGCGUUGUCCGGAAUCAUUGGGCGUAAAGGGCGCGUAGGUGGCCCGGUCAGUCUUUGGUGAAAGCGCGGGGCUCAACCCUGCGUCGGCCAGGGAUACUGCCGCGGCUCGAGCACUGUAGAGGCAGGCGGAAUUCCGGGUGUAGCGGUGGAAUGCGUAGAGAUCCGGAAGAACGCCGGUGGCGAAGGCGGCCUGCUGGGCAGUUUUGCUGACACUGAGGCGCGACAGCGUGGGGAGCAAACAGG